GAUGAACGCUGGCGGCGUGCCUAAUACAUGCAAGUCGAGCGAACGGACGAGAAGCUUGCUUCUCUGAUGUUAGCGGCGGACGGGUGAGUAACACGUGGAUAACCUACCUAUAGGACUGGGAUAACUUCGGGAAACCGUAGCUAAUACCGGAUAAUAUUUUGCACCGCAUGGUUCAAAAGUGAAAGACGGUCUUGCUGUAACUUAUAGAUGGAUCCGCGCUGCAUUAGAUAGUUGGUAAGGUAACGGCUUACCAAGGCAACGAUGCAUAGCCGACCUGAGGGGGUGAUCGGCCACACGGGAACUGAGACACGGUCCAGACUCCUACGGGAGGCAGCAGUAUGGAAUCUGCCGCAAUGGGCGAAAGCCUGACGGAGCAACGCCGCGUGAGUGAUGGAGGUCUUCGGAUCGUAAAACUCUGUUAUUAGUGAAGAACAUAUGUGUAAGUAACUGUGCACAUCUUGACGGUACCUAAUCAGAAAGCCACGGCUAACUACGUG
rnacentral:rRNA from 1 species